AUGAACACAUCCACUUGGGACAUGAGUUCUUCGUCAUCUUCAUCUGGCGACGAUGAACUCAUACUUGCAGCAUUCGCCGAGCGCGAGGAGGAAGAGAGGAAGAACGCUCGACGCCAUGGCGGUUCCAAGCAUGGACGUCAGUCAAUCGAUCGAGGAAGAGAUGCCGGAUUUCUUCUUUUGUGGGACGACUACUUCAAAGAAGUUCCUCGCUUUCCCGAACAUUUGUUUCGACGAAGGUUCGAUGUCGCGUACUUUAUUCAACCGCAUAGCUGA
rnacentral:rRNA from 1 species